rnacentral:RNase_MRP_RNA from 14 species
UUGUCACUGGACGAAGUGAAUGGGUCAUAUGGGCUUGUCCAAGUUCCGACCCAGGAAAGUCCCCGGGCCACUUAUCCGCAGAGAUGCGCCUCGGUAACGAGAGAAUCUUGCGGUGGAGAGAUUCAAAUUGCUGAGACGCGUGUGUGGAGCUUAUGUGGUCUCUCCGCCGAUGAUAUCAUGGCCGUUCGACAGUUAUUCACCUCUUCCUCUAUGGACUAACUGAACGGGGCUUACGUUUCAAUGACA